UCUCCUGGAAACGGGUGGUAAUGCCGGAUGCUCCAGUUGAUCGCAUGGUCUUCUGGGAAAGCUUUCGCGGUAUGGGAUGGGGUCGCGUCCUAUCAGCUUGACGGCGGGGUAACGGCCCACCGUGGCUUCGACGGGUAGCCGGCCUGAGAGGGCGACCGGCCACAUUGGGACUGAGAUACGGCCCAGACUCCUACGGGAGGCAGCAGUGGGGAAUAUUGCACAAUGGGCGCAAGCCUGAUGCAGCGACGCCGCGUGAGGGAUGGAGGCCUUCGGGUUGUAAACCUCUUUUAUCGGGGAGCAAGCGAGAGUGAGUUUACCCGUUGAAUAAGCACCGGCUAACUACGUGCCAGCAGCCGCGGUAAUACGUAGGGUGCAAGCGUUAUCCGGAAUUAUUGGGCGUAAAGGGCUCGUAGGCGGUUCGUCGCGUCCGGUGUGAAAGUCCAUCGCUUAACGGUGGAUCCCCGCCGGGUACGGGCGGGCUUGAGUGCGGUAGGGGAGACUGGAAUUCCCGGUGUAACGGUGGAAUGUGUAG
rnacentral:rRNA from 1 species